UUGCUGUAUAAAUCAUUUCCAUGCAGUCUCAAUUUCAUGCCAUCUAUGAGUUAAAUGUAUGGUUUUUGUUUGUGACACAACUAUCCGAGGUCUGUCACUCACACAGCCUCCAUAAAAUGGUUUCAUUUUUACAGCACAGCGUGUAAAACACUGUUUUUAUACAUAUAUAUAUAUAUAUAUAUAUAUAUAUAUUAAUUGUGGUAGCCAAUUAAUAUAUACAUAUAUAUAUAUUCUCUGUUCCGCAUAGUAGCUGUUGACAUUAUAGUUGCACAGGAACUUUGCUGACUCUAGAGAAUCUCGGGCAAAUCGCACAUCCCCGUGGUGACAACUUUGCAUGCGGAUGUCAUCCAUAUCAACUUUCAAUGCCAGUUUCUGCGCCUACCAUGGUGACCACGGGUAACGGGGAAUCAGGGUUCCAUUCCGUACAGGGACCCUGAGAAAUGGCUAACACAUACAAGGAAGGCAGCAGGCAUGCAAAUGAACCACUCCCGAUGCGGGAAGGUAGUGACAAAAAAUAACAAUACAGGACUCUUUAGAGGUCCUGUAAUUGAAAUGAGUCCACUUGAAAUCCUUUAACUCUGAUCAAUUGGAGGGAAGUCUGGUGCAGAGCCACUGACCCAUGUGUGCUGCAGCUGAAACUCCAUUA